rnacentral:tRNA from 1 species
GAGCAAUUGCCUUCUAAGCAAUCGGUCACUGGUUCGAAUCCAGUACAACGCGCCA